AUGGAUUCUGUCAAUGUUACAAGCACGAAGCGUGCACCCAGAGCUCCUAUAAAGUUUUGCUCCCCUGUGCAGCAGCUUCACCCUCAUAAUUUCCCUCACCUGGACAAGGCUCGCAAGUUGUACAAUCUAUUGCUUAGUGACGAAUGGCGUGAGAAGUAUGCCGAGAAUGUGUUCUCAAUGAUACAUCAGCCUGAUGAAAGCGUAACUAGCUUCACUGGGAAACGCAUCUGGGAAGUUUUUUCACCUGGGCAAAUGAUGGAGGGUGAUAUAAUGGACUUCUUCAUUGCUGAUUGGAAGCAAGAUCCCGAGAGAAAUGCUGAUUUCGCAUCUGGAAAAAGGGUAUUGCUGAGUCCAUAUUUCAUCACGGUUGUGCUUGACUGUACGUUUUAUGGUGGUGAAGAUAAAGAGUUUAAUGUGGAGAGUGCAGCGAGAGAUUUCAAGAGCUAUGUUAAAGAUAAGGAAGACUUGCUCAGUGCCGACCUUAUUUCUAGAUUGGUCCAAGUAAUUUAG
rnacentral:rRNA from 1 species